rnacentral:rRNA from 1 species
UAUUGUUCUUCAACGAGGAAUCCCUAGUAAGCGUGAGUCAUCAGCUCACGUUGAUUAUGUCCCUGCCCUUUGUACACACCGCCCGUCGCUACUACCGAUUGAAUGGCUUAGUGAGACUCUCGGAUCGGGUAUGAAGAACCGGAAACGGUUCUUUUUAUUUGAGAAGUUUGUCAAACUUGGUCAUUUAGAGGAAGUAAAAGUCGUAACAAGGUUUCCGUAGGUGAACCUGCGGAAGGAUCAUUAGAAAUUUUUUUAUGUAUUCAAAAACUUUAAAUCUUUAUUACAUAUAAUAUUUAAAUAAACGAGAUAACUUUUAACAACGGAUCUCUUGGCUCUUGCAUCGAUGAAGAACGCAGCGAAAUGCGAUAAGUAAUGUGAAUUGCAGAAUUCCGUGAAUCAUCAAAUCUUUGAACGCAAAUUGCACUCCUUGGUAUUCCGAGGAGUAUGCUUGGUUGAGGGUUGUUCCAAUAAAUUCGUUUUUUUCAAAGAACGGAUCUGAGUUUUCCAAAUUCUAAAUUUGGUAACUUGAAAUUUAUCUUAACGAUAUCUUUGGUAUGAUAUUAAAAAUGGUCAUAUUCUUGCAUCUCGCGAGUUUCAUUCACAAUUGAUUACCUGUCGUUACGUCGUAUCAUUUGCCUAAUCCUUUUUGGUUGGGUCAUGUGAUACAAUUUUUUCUUCAACACCUCAAGUCAAGUAAGAACACCCGCUGAACUUAAGCAUAUCAAUAAGCGGAGGAAAAGAAACUAACAAGGAUUCCCUUAGUAACGGCGAGUGAAGCGGGAAGAGCUCAAAUUUUAAAUCUCCGAGGUUUCCUUGGCGAGUUGUAAUUUGAAGAGAGUGUUUGACAUUCGGGUUUGAUCCAAAUCCUUUGG